ACUAUGCCAAGUCAAAAAUAUUUGCUAUCUGGCCCUUUAAGAGAAAAACCUUGCCGACUGCUGCUAUAGAGACGUGUUAUAGGUGGGAAUACUGAGGCACGGAAAGGUUACUUGUUAGCUAACAACACAAGCAGCAGAGAGGGGAGUCACACCAAGCAGCAGGAGUUGGGGGCUCAGCACUGGUGCUGACCUGACCGCUUCCCAGACCGCGUCGGUCCGACAGGGCGUGGGAACCUGUGAGAACCUGUACCCCGGGGAAGACGGCAGCCCUGGCAGAGCUCCGUGUAGAGGAGGGGUGCGAUUUCACUCGGGUGCUCAGAGGAAGCCUCUGGCUGAUGGCUGACAGUAGAUAGAUGAGUGAGAACGUGGUCCAGGUGAGAGGCGCUGGUGCCUACACCGGGCUGGGUUUCCCUCUGGGCCUCGUCCCUUCCCAUCUGCUGUGGCCUUGCGGGUGAAUUCUCCCUGCUUCCUCUUUCUCAGGCCUCUUGGUCUCCCCUCUUCCUCCAGGGUUUCAGUUCCUCCAUCUCUCCCCUCCCCGUCCCAGGUCCUGGGUCCUUGUGCACGGGUGCCCUGGGGGAGGGCUGUGUGGGGGUAAGGCUCCUUUGCCCGUGUGUAGCCCUAGGUCUGGGUGAGUGGGCCCAGUGUGGUCACUCCUCCUGCCACAGGUCUGGGAGCCACAGAGGGUGGGGUGGGGAGGGAGCAGGAAGUGCUCCCUAUGCCGGGACAUGGAGCCAUUGUCACUGGCCCCCCGUGUGGAGACAUUUGAAAGGACACCGUGACCCACUGCAGCCCCAUGGCGCACGUGCGCGAAUAUUCACACACACGGGUUGAAGUACAGACAGUGUCCCACAGCCACGCAAACACACUGAGCUCCCGGGAGCCACGGCGAGCACACGGAAACCCCUGCAGGACGCCUGGCAGCAGGCACAGCCACCGCGUGCCACCCCUUUACACCCACAUAGCCCACCUGGAGCUUGACUGGGACCCUGCACAGUAAAGCAGAGACUUUAGCAGGGACACGGCAAAACUCACUCACACAAACACAUUCUGCAGGGUCACGCUCGCAACCACCACACACCAUAGAUUGAGAGACAGUGCCACACACCCACCCCACCCCCUCACAGCACGAGGAAGUGAAACAGCCUCUGGCAGAGACCCAUCAGCAGUUACACAAACAUCCUCCUUCGCUGGGGUCAGUCACAGGCACAAAUGCACACACACACACACGACCUGACCCGUCCGUCCCCCGAGCACACACCACACACAGAGAUCUGACACGUCGUGAUCGCACAGACUGCCAGGCGGUCGUGCCCACUUGGUCUGACAUUUCGUGGCCCCACACACUCAGGCCUGGGGCGUCCCACGCGACCUGGCAGGCAGCAGCCAUCCCGUCACAGCCAGACACUCGGUCACGCCCCCGGUCCCAGACGGAGCAGUCCCACACACUCGGACACACCCCCAGGGUCGCGGCCCUCACACGCCCAGCUCGUGCCUGGGCCCCAGGACAAGUCCUGGCUGUGUACUAGGAUUCAGUCACACUCCUGGUGCCUGAGCGCUGGCCACUCCCUCGUGACACACCCGCCCACCUGCCUGCCGCCUUGAAGGAAACUUGCAGGGUCAGCACCUUCUCACCACGACGGCUCCCUCACGUCUGCGUGGAAGAUGGCCUGGUGCCAGAGGAGGGCCCCCAGACGUCAGCUGCCGCCACCCCCGCAGCUAGCCUCCACCUCCCCGUCUGAGGACGUCUGUCACCUGCCCACCCUGCGGGGCCUGGCAGCCGGCAGGCAGGCCCCAGAGAGCUCUCUCGGACUCUUGUGGCUCUAGAGCUGCAUUUCCAUCGCCGAUGACCAGUCCCCUCCACGAGCUGAGUCCCUAGUUUCGAGGGACGUCUGGGGUACUCGGUGCAGCCUCAGGUACCUUGCGGGAGCCUGGCACAAAGUAAAACUGCCCAGAAAACACA